rnacentral:rRNA from 1 species
AACGAACGCUGGCGGCAUGCCUAACACAUGCAAGUCGAACGAGACCUUCGGGUCUAGUGGCGCACGGGUGCGUAACGCGUGGGAACCUGCCCUUAGGUUCGGAAUAACUCCCCGAAAGGGGUGCUAAUACCGGAUAAUGUCUUCGGACCAAAGAUUUAUCGCCUUUGGAUGGGCCCGCGUUGGAUUAGCUGGUUGGUAGGGUAAAAGCCUACCAAGGCGACGAUCCAUAGCUGGUCUGAGAGGAUGAUCCGCCACACUGGGACUGAGACACGGCCCAGACUCCUACGGGGGGGAGCAGUGGGGAAUAUUAGACAAUGGGCGAAAGCCUGAUCCAGCAAUGCCGCGUGAGUGAUGAAGGCCUUAGGGUUGUAAAGCUCUUUUACCCGGGAUGAUAAUGACAGUACCGGGAGAAUAAGCUCCGGCUAACUCCGUG